rnacentral:rRNA from 1 species
UACGGGGGCGAGCGUUGUUCGGAUUUACUGUGCGUAAAGGGCGCGCAGGCGGCGCAUUUUGUCAGGCGUGAAAGCCCCGGGCUUAACCUGGGAACUGCGUUUGAUACGGAUGGGCUAGAGUUCGGGAGAGGAGAGUGGAAUUCCCAGUGUAGAGGUGAAAUUCGUAGAUAUUCGCAAGAACACCAGUGGCGAAGGCGGCUCACUGGCCCGGUACUGACGCUGAGGUGCGAAAGCGUGGGGAGCAAACAGG